rnacentral:other from 1 species
CCACCCCUGCGGUGUUCGUGAGGAGACCAACCUCCUGAGCCGAUAACUUAUGAACCUGGGAGCCGUGCCCUGACUGCCGCUGCCACCUCCAUGCGGGGUUCGCAAAAACAGUUAUUCAUGGAUCCACCUUAACAUACGGGUUCAGAGAGUGCGAUCCCACGGCACAGGCGGGGGCUAU